CCUACGGGGGGCAGCAGUGGGGAAUAUUGCACAAUGGGGGGAACCCUGAUGCAGCAAUGCCGCGUGGGUGAAGAAGCACUCCGGUGCGUAAAGCCCUGUCAGCAGGGAAGAAAAUGACAGUACCUGGACAAGAAGCCCCGGCUAACUACGUGCCAGCAGCCGCGGUAAUACGUAGGGGGCAAGCGUUAUCCGGAUUUACUGGGGGAAAAGGGUGCGCGGGCGGUCUGUUAAGGCAGCGGUCAAAGCCCGGGGCUAAACCCCGGCCCGCCGUUGAAACUGGCAGUCUCGAGUUGGAGAGAAGUAUGCGGAAUGCGUGGUGUAGCGGUGAAAUGCAUAGAGAUCGCGCAGAACUCCGAUUGCGAAGGCAGCAUGCCGGCUCCACACUGACGCUGAGGCACGAAAGCGUGGGUAUCGAACAGGAUUAGAUACCCGUGUAGUC
rnacentral:rRNA from 1 species